rnacentral:rRNA from 1 species
AUGAAGCAGACAGUGAAGGCAUAUGUAGCAGCGUGUGCCGUUUGCAAGCAAGCCAAACCAGAGCAUGUCAAGUAUCCAGGGUUGCUUCAGCCGCUGCCUGUUCCAAAGCAUGCAUGGGAGAUGGUCACACUUGAUUUUGUGGAAGGGUUACCAACAUCCAAGGGGUUUAACUCUAUUCUGGUGGUGGUGUACAAGCUCACUCGUUAUGCUCAUUUCAUACCCCUGCGGCACCCCUUCUCCGCCCUUCAAGUGGCCAAAGCCUACAUGGAUAAUGUGUUCAAAUUGCAUGGUCCUCCGGAUGCAAUGGUGUUGGACCGUGAUCGAAUCUUCACUAGCAAGAUUUGGCAAGAGCUGUGCAAGCUGGCACGCAUCACCUUGAACAUCUCCUCAGCAAGGCACCCUCAAACGGACGGAACCACGGAGCAAGUAAACCAAUGCAUGGAGCUGUACCUUCGUUGCUUCAUGCACAAUUUCCCAAGUAAGUGGGUUGACUGGAUCUCUCUGGCUGAGUUUUGGUAUAAUACCUCGUACCAUUCUACUCUCAAAUCCACUCCGUUUGAGGUGCUGUAUGGACACAAGCCGCGGUUCUUUGGGAUCUCCAACAUAGCAGAUGCAUCCAUGCCAGAUUUGGUUGAAUGGACCCAGGAGCGCGCCACCAUGUUGGCUUGUUUACGCCAACACUUGAAUCGGGCCCGACAAUGGAUGAAGGACAAGGCGGAUCGCCACCGUUCGGACAGGACCUUUGCAGUGCAGGACUGGGUCUACUUGAAGUUGCAGCCCUAUGCCCAGUCCUCGAUGGCUGCUCGCGCUAACCAUAUACUUGCCUUUCGCUACUUUGGUCCGUUUCAGGUUCUGCAACGUGUCGGCGAAGUGGCUUAUAAGUUGGCCUUGCCUGAGCAGGCUAAGAUCCACCCUGUGGUCCACGUCUCCCAGCUACGCGCGGCGGUUCCUCCUACAACAACAAUUCUGCCGGAGCUGCCCAUGCUGGACGAAGACUUGCUUCCGUUUCAAGUCCCUGAGAAGCUUCUGAAUCGGCGGACAGUGCAGCGCGGGACGCGUCAAGUGGAGCAGGCGCUGGUGAAGUGGUCUGGUUUCCCCGACUCUCUGUCAUCGUGGGAGGAUGUCAUUCCCCUGCAAGCACGUUUUCCGCGAGCCCUGGCUUGGGGGCAAGCUCAGGCUAAAGGGGGAGGAAAUAUCACGGGCCUUACUACUGCCCCGGACCGGCCUGCUCAUCAGGAAACAGCACAGGGAUGGCCCAGGCAGGAGAGGAGGCCCAACAGUCGUUACAAUGGCCCAAGUUGGAGCAAGUGA